UACGAAGGGGGCAAGCGUUGUUCGGAAUUACUGGGCGUAAAGGGCGCGUAGGCGGCUUACCAAGUCAGGCGUGAAAUUCCCGGGCUCAACCUGGGGGCUGCGCUUGAUACUGGUGAGCUUGAAUGCGGGAGAGGAUAGUGGAAUUCCCAGUGUAGAGGUGAAAUUCGUAGAUAUUGGGAAGAACACCGGUGGCGAAGGCGGCUAUCUGGCCCGUAAUUGACGCUGAGGCGCGAAAGCGUGGGGAGCAAACAGG
rnacentral:rRNA from 1 species